AGCUUUGUACAGUGGCAAUAUCGUAACUAAUGAAUAGUUCAUUCGAAGUGCGAUUAUUGCUAGUUGAAAACUAUUAUUUCCCAUAGGUUCCCACAUAUUGACAACUCAAUGUUUCAUACUUAGACAAAUUUAAGCUAUUUUUCCAAAAAU